rnacentral:tRNA from 1 species
GGAGAGAUACCCAAGUGGCCAAAGGGAGCAGACUGUAAAUCUGCCGGUUCACGCCUUCGAAGGUUCGAAUCCUUCUCCCUCCA